rnacentral:rRNA from 1 species
ACGAAUUUGGUGGCCUUAUUAGGAUAAAAGCCAACCUAGUCUUCGGAUUAGCGUUUUGGUGAUUCAUAAUAAUGAAGCCCAAUCACACGACUCGUUCGGUGAUACGCCAUUACAAUUUCUGCCCUAUCAGCUUUGGAUGGUAGUGUAGUGGACUACCAUGGCUUUUACGGGUGACGGGGAAUUAGGGUUCGAUUCCGGAGAGGGAGCCUGAGAAACGGCUACCACUUCUAUGGAAGGCAGCAGGCGUGCAAAUUACCCAAUCCCAAUACGGGGAGGUAGUGACAAGAAAUAACAAUACUGGGUUCUUACGAAUUCGGUAAUUGGAAUGAGUGUAAUCUAAAGGUCUUAACCAGGACCAACUGGAGGGCAAGUCUGGUGCCAGCAGCCGCGGUAAUACCAGCUCCAAUAGUGUAUAUUAAUGUUGCUGCAGUUAAAAAGCUCGUAGUCGAAUUUCUGAUCUGUCAAACUCAAACUGCUUUCUUUGAAAGUAUGUCUUGAAAUGUUUGUGGAUCUUAUUUCUGGAAAGUGUUUCUAGCCUUAAUUGGUUGGUUAUACGAUCCAGAUCAUUUACUGUGAGCAAAUGGGAGUGUUUAAAGCGAGUUAUUACAAGCUUGAACCGUUUAGCAUGGAAUAAUAAAAUAUAACUUGGUUUUAUUUUGUUGGCUUCUAAAACCCAGUAAUGAUCAAAAGGGAUAGUUGGGGGUGCUCAUAUUCAGGGGGUAGCGGUGAAAUGCGAUGAUCCUCUGAAGAUGAACUACUGCGAAAGCAUUCACCAAGGAUAUCUUCUUUGAUCAAGAACGAAAGUUGGGGGAUCGAAGACGAUCAGAUACCGUCGUAGUCUCAACCAUAAACUAUGCCAACUAGAGAUUGGCGAUCGUCGAAUACUUGACCCCGUCAGCAUCUUCAGAGAAAUCAAAGUCUUUGGGUUCUGGGGGGAGUAUGGUCACAAGGCUGAAACUUAAAGGAAUUGACGGAAGGGCACCACCAGGAGUGGAGCCUGCGGCUUAAUUUGACUCAACACGGGAAAACUUACCAGGUCCGGACAUAGUAAGGAUUGACAGAUUGAAGCUCUUUCUUGAUUCUAUGGAUAGUGGUGCAUGGCCGUUCUUAGUUGGUGGAGUGAUUUGUCCGGUUAAUUCCGAUAACGAGCGAGACCUCGACCUAUUAAUUAGAUGUGUAAAUCUUCGGAUUUAUAAUAUACAGCUUCUUAGAGGUACUUUUGGUGAGUAGCCAAAGGAAGUUCGAGGCAAUAACAGGUCUGUGAUGCCCUUAGAUGUUCUGGGCUGCACGCGUGCUACAAUGAUGCAUUCAACAAGUUGUAACUCCUUGGUCGAAAGGCCUGGGUAAACUUUUGAAAUUGCAUCAUGCUGGGGCUUGAUCAUUGUAAUUAUUGAUCACCAACGAGGAAUUCCUUGUAAAUGCAAGUCAUCAGCUUGCAUUGAAUACGUCCCUGCCCUUUGUACACACCGCCCGUCGCUUCUACCGAUGAAUGAUCCGGUGAACUCUUAGGACUUGUUGUUUUGAAGACUUCGGUUUAGAAACUAUCAGGGAAUUUGCGUAAACCUUAUCAUUUAGAGGAAGAAGAAGUCGUAACAAGGUU